AAAAAUUUAAGUUAAAAAAACUUUUAGCCUUCAAAGCUAAUAAUAAGGAAAACAACCUUAAUUUUUA
rnacentral:tRNA from 1 species